CAGUAGCCACGGUAAUACGUAGGGUGCAAGCGUUGUCCGGAAUUAUUGGGCGUAAAGAGCUCGUAGGCGGUCUGUCGCGUCGAAUGUGAAAAUCCGAGGCUCAACCUCGGACCUGCAUUCGAUACGGGCAGACUAGAGUUCGGUAGGGGAGACUGGAAUUCCUGGUGUAGCGGUGAAAUGCGCAGAUAUCAGGAGGAACACCGGUGGCGAAGGCGGGACUCUGGGCCGAUACUGACGCUGAGGAGCGAAAGCGUGGGGAGCAAACAGGAUUAGAUACCCCAGUAGUCCCUGUCUCUUAUAC
rnacentral:rRNA from 1 species